GCCAACAGCUAGCUCUCUGCAACUAUCUCAUGGUUGCCCACUGAAGCUAAGCAGGGCUGUAUCUGGUCAGUACCUGGAUGGGAGACCACAUGGGAAGACUAGGUUGCUGCAGGAA
rnacentral:rRNA from 1 species